UGCAAUUAUCUCUGUUGCAGAGUGUGCAGGCAUAAUUCUUUUUCGGAAAAGAAUGUUGGAAGGGCUAGUGAAAUUAUUAUUUGUUCCAAAAAUAGAAUUGUUAGUGUAUUAGGAUGUGGCUUGUACUAGUUAUAUCUCUCUUGCCUGAGUUUACAGGUGGGAUUUCCCCCCCUUACGUUGUAAGAAGUAUAGCAGAUUCAGAUCCUCUUUCUAAUGGAACGAUCUGUUAUUUUCUUUUUUCUAUUUAACUUUUAAAAAUUUUAUCUUCCAAACGGGUUGGAGGAUUCGGGCUAACAGAGAUGUUCUAAAUGCUGACUUGUUUGUUUGACUCAUUUAUCAUCAAUUAUCAGUCAACUUAACCAACUACCGUGUAAAAUAAAUAGGAUUAUCAGUGAAACCGCAAUUUGAGACUAGGAGAAUGCUUGAGCAAUAUCUUCAUAACUGGCAUGAAUUCUUGAUGAAGCCCCACAGUCAGUUACCAUAAGUAACUCUCCGCAUAAUCAGACUCUAGAUUUCGCAAAGCAAUCUAGAAGUAGCGUCACCAGCAAUACUAACAAUCUGCUAAAUGGUACGAAAUCACACUUGAGCCCCCAACCAGCUAUACUGACAAGUCUUGAUACUUACUACGAAUCGAAGCUCAAAUUCAUCUCUUAACUUCCAAACUAUUCAACUUUGCUAAACAUUUUCCAAUCAUGCCCAAGUCCAACUUUCGGCAAAUAGAGUCAAAACCUUUUAAGAACUUCUAAAUCCAAAUUCGAACAUGCACUUAAGUUCAAAAUCACCGUAGAAUUUAUUGAAACCAUCAAAUCAUC
rnacentral:lncRNA from 1 species